GUGGUGGUAGUGUAGUGGCUAGGAGCUCGGCUAGCACCACAAAAGUCGUGGGUUCGAUUCCCAGCUGCCACC
rnacentral:tRNA from 1 species